UACGAAGGGGGCUAGCGUUGCUCGGAAUCACUGGGCGUAAAGCGCACGUAGGCGGCUUUUUAAGUCGGGGGUGAAAUCCCGAGGCUCAACCUCGGAACUGCCUUCGAUACUGGCGAUCUUCGAGUCCGGGAGAGGUGAGUGGAACUCCGAGUGCAGAGGUGAAAUUCGUAGAUAUUCGGAAGAACACCAGUGGCGAAGGCGGCUCACUGGCCCGGUACUGACGCUGAAAUACGAAAGCGUGGGGAGCAAACAGG
rnacentral:rRNA from 1 species